GAACGCUAGCUACAGGCUUAACACAUGCAAGUCGAGGGGCAGCAUGGUCUUAGCUUGCUAAGGCCGAUGGCGACCGGCGCACGGGUGAGUAACACGUAUCCAACCUGCCGUCUACUCUUGGACAGCCUUCUGAAAGGAAGAUUAAUACAAGAUGGCAUCAUGAGUCCGCAUGUUCACAUGAUUAAAGGUAUUCCGGUAGACGAUGGGGAUGCGUUCCAUUAGAUAGUAGGCGGGGUAACGGCCCACCUAGUCUUCGAUGGAUAGGGGUUCUGAGAGGAAGGUCCCCCACAUUGGAACUGAGACACGGUCCAAACUCCUACGGGAGGCAGCAGUGAGGAAUAUUGGUCAAUGGGCGAGAGCCCGAACCAGCCAAGUAGCGUGAAGGAUGACUGCCCUAUGGGUUGUAAACUUCUUUUAUAAAGGAAUAAAGUCGGGUAUGCAUACCCGUUUGCAUGUACUUUAUGAAUAAGGAUCGGCUAACUCCGUGCCAGCAGCCGCGGUAAUACGGAGGAUCCGAGCGUUAUCCGGAUUUAUUGGGUUUAAAGGGAGCGUAGAUGGAUGUUUAAGUCAGUUGUGAAAGUUUGCGGCUCAACCGUAAAAUUGCAGUUGAUACUGGAUAUCUUGAGUGCAGUUGAGGCAGGCGGAAUUCGUGGUGUAGCGGUGAAAUGCUUAGAUAUCACGAAGAACUCCGAUUGCGAAGGCAGCCUGCUAAGCUGCAACUGACAUUGAGGCUCGAAAGUGUGGGUAUCAAACAGGAUUAGAUACCCUGGUAGUCCACACGGUAAACGAUGAAUACUCGCUGUUUGCGAUAUACAGCAAGCGGCCAAGCGAAAGCGUUAAGUAUUCCACCUGGGGAGUACGCCGGCAACGGUGAAACUCAAAGGAAUUGACGGGGGCCCGCACAAGCGGAGGAACAUGUGGUUUAAUUCGAUGAUACGCGAGGAACCUUACCCGGGCUUAAAUUGCAGAUGAAUUACGGUGAAAGCCGUAAGCCGCAAGGCAUCUGUGAAGGUGCUGCAUGGUUGUCGUCAGCUCGUGCCGCGAGGUGUCGGCUUAAGUGCCAUAACGAGCGCAACCCUUGUUGUCAGUUACUAACAGGUUCCGCUGAGGACUCUGACAAGACUGCCAUCGUAAGAUGUGAGGAAGGUGGGGAUGACGUCAAAUCAGCACGGCCCUUACGUCCGGGGCUACACACGUGUUACAAUGGGGGGGUACAGAGGGCCGCUACCACGCGAGUGGAUGCCAAUCCCAAAAACCUCUCUCAGUUCGGACUAGAGUCUGCAACCCGACUCCACGAAGCUGGAUUCGCUAGUAAUCGCGCAUCAGCCACGGCGCGGUGAAUACGUUCCCGGGCCUUGUACACACCGCCCGUCAAGCCAUGGGAGCCGGGGGUACCUGAAGUGCGUAACCGCGAGGAGCGCCCUAGGGUAAAACUGGUGACUGGGGCUAA
rnacentral:rRNA from 1 species